rnacentral:siRNA from 1 species
UCAUCUAAUUAGUGACGCGCA